AAACAAACCAACCCCAGAAAAAAAUCAAGCCAGAACUUUGCGGCUGAGAGCAAAGUGUCCUAGCCAGUUGUGAAUCCUGUAAUCUACAAUAUCGACUGGUCAGUCAAGAUGUGUCCUUGGUGUAAAGAGUGGAAUGGAAGAUUAGUGUGAUGCUGUCACAGAAGAUUACUGCUGGCCAGACAAGCUUCUGUUUGCAGUGGGUGAUAUUUAAUACAGACACUUCUAAGUGGUCUACAUACUGAGAAUAAGGGACUCUUGAAUGCUCACCCCUUAACAGGAUGUCUGUGUCACCCAUCCAAGGCUUGGAGAACAUUGCGAAAGGAUACAAGUAUUGGAGGAUGGGAAGUAAUAUUGUGAAUACUGUCUUCUGGACAUGAUACAGCUGUUGAGCUCAUGAACUCACAGUAGUGUAGUUAUCUGCACAAGACUUGCAGAAAAUGGGGCCUUUCAACAUUCCAGAAUUAGGCCCCACCCUUCUAGAGGAACUAUGAGGAAUUAAUGGCUUGCUGGGGAAGAAAGGGUCAUUGCCUUCUGAGACAUUGCCCAUGCUUCAGAAAAUAACUCUCACCCAUGUACAUUCAAGUAACCAUAAUUAAGGUCAUAAGGUCACAAACACAAAAAAUAAAACAGAGUUGGAGUGGAACUUGCUGAAACCAGGGUUCAAAAGAAGUGGUAUGGGGAUGACCUAAUGGUGGGUGAAAAAGAUCAAAAUAUACAGAAAUGAAAUUGUAAAAAAAUAUAAAUAAGAAAAAAAGAAAAUAAAGAAAUAGUAGUGGCCAGCAUCUGAAGGAGAUAUGCCCUAAGACCUGCAGUGGAACAUGAAAACAGUGGCUAGUAGUUAGCCUAAUAUAUGUUUUUUUCUACUUAUACAUAAAAGAAAGUAUAAUUUGCUAACUAGGCACAAGAAGAGAUUUAUAACAAUAUAUAACAGGGAAACAGAACUAUAGCAGUUUCUUUCUGUCUCAAUAUGUCACAGCACAGUGCAUUCAUCUUUCUUCUUGGGCUGACAUGAUGUCACAUAGCUGCUAUAUAAUGAGAUUAUAUGAGGCAAAUGUUGGACUAGCAUUGCUGUAUAUUUCAUGACAUUACUCAGAACUACCCACAACUUAAAAGUUAUUAAUAUUUACCUCUAGAAAUUUUCAUUUAAUGUUUUCAGAUACCAGUUGGACUGAAACUGCAGAAUCUAUAUUGCAAGCAAGGAAAUAUUAAAAGAAAGUUAGCUGAACUUGCUGGCCAUACUGGGACAGUUUGACCAGAAGAUACUGGCCAUGCUCGAAGCCCACAAAACUUGGAUAGACUUGUUGGAAACCAUUUGGGAGGUGAAGCAAAUGCUUUAGUUGUCAUGCAUUGAAUAUUCUUGUGUCUGCCACAGAACUGUGUUGCAUGGCUGCAUGCUGGUGGCUCUAUAUCUCUGGGGGAUCAAUGGUGAUCAUUCUUCCAUGGACCACCCAUGCACUGUACUGUUGAAGACUGCAAGAGCUUCAACUCUACAAGUUGCCUGGGCCUUAGGAAUGGGAGUCUCUCUGAUAGCUCUGCUCCUACCAUACAAUUUUGCCUUGGCCUUAGGAACGCUGGAGAGAUUUCUUGGAAUAUACAUGGAGAAGUUUAUCUUUUUCUCCAGCUUCUACACUCUGGAGACCUGGAGUAUUAGAAACAUAGUUUGAGAUUUGUUUGUGAUUUCUCAUCAGUAGACAGAAGAUAAGCACUGACUCAAGUACAGCAGAAAGAAACAGAUUUAUGGUGGCCUUAGUCUCAAGGUUAGCUGGUAUCGUUAACCCCUUCCCCCCAUGUUAAAUUUUUCUGCAUCAAGGGCAUGACAUCCCUAUAAUCUCAGCACUCAGAAGGCUGAAGCAGUACUAUUAUUUUGUGGCCCGCCUGCGUUAUUUAAUGAGAUACUGCCGUAAAAUAAAACAAAAACAAACAAACAAACAAAAAACCCACCACCACAAACAACAUGAACAAAAUAAUCCAUGCAUUUGCAAAUAUGGGAAGGGGAGUUUUGAAAAUCUCCAUAAUGCCUUCAAGGUCAUAUUUUCCACAUCUUUCAUGAAUAGCACCAGGCUUCCUUCUAGCCAAAUCUACUAGGUAAGGUAGAUUAGACGCUACUUGCUGUUCUCAAAGUAUACUGUAUUUAUAUUUUACAUAGUUAGGCUGAGAAUUUUCCAGAUCUUUACUUUCAACUUCCCUUUUGAUUACAGUAACAGUUUUUAUGUCCCUUCUUUCCUUAUGCAUUUCCUUAGAAGCCAGUUGUCAGGUCCAAAAACAACCUGGGACAAGUCUCACUCAGUACCUGUGGCUCCUCCCAGCACCACUCACACCACCCCCUAUUCUAAAUCUCUCCAGCCCAGAGACUGGCCUUCCCUUCCCUUCCCAGAACUUCUAAUCCUUUAUAAACCAGCCCUCCUGGCCACACACUCUCUUGGUUCCCAUGUACUCUCUUGGCCUCUUAGUUCCUUGCUGGCUCACCCUUUGUCUCUUUGUCCUUUUGGCUCUCUUUCUCUCUUCUCUUCCUCUCUUGAUCUCCCCCCGCCCCCGCCUCUCCUUUUUCCUCUCAUGGCCUGGUUCAGUCUGUACCCUUCCAGAUGCCUCAGACUAAAAUCUUCAUAUCUACAAUAAAAUUCUUCUCCUCAACCACACCCUGGAGCAGUCAUGUCCUCAUUUUCACUCACUAGUAAUGGAAGUCAUGCAGCAACCCAAACAACAGCUGAGACCUUUUAUUCCAAAUAUACCAGUUCAUCACUCUGAAGUUCUGUUCUCCAUACUGUCCUUGGAUACAGAAAUAAUUCAGCCUUUUAGACAUUCGGAAUGAGAAUGAUAAUUUCCCAUUUCCAAUCAGAUGUCCUCACUUCUGAUUAAAAUCUCAUCAGUAUAGACUUAACUGCCUUUUAUUUUUUUAUUUUUAUUUUUUAUUUUUUUAUUUUUGCCAAUAUUCUGUUUAAGGGCAUUGUGUUGGUUAGCUUUAUCAACUUUACAAAAUCUAUAGUUACCUGGGAACUAAGUCUCAAUGCGGGACUGACCAUAUUGGGUUGUUCUGUGGUCAUGUCUGUGAGGGAGUGUCUUGGUUGUGUGAACUGAUGUGAGAAAAUCUAGUCUAAAAGUGAGUGGUGCUAGUCCCUGUGGUUGGGUCCCAGACUGGGUAAGAGAUGAAAGUGAGCUGAAUGGUAGGCAUGGAUACAUUCAUUUCUCUCUGCUCUUGACUAUGAGUGUGAUGUGAUUAUCCAGUUCAAGUUCCCUGCCUUUCCUUUUCUGUAGAACGAACUGUAACCUGGACUUGUGAAGUAAAUAAACCAUUCUCUCAAGUU